rnacentral:tRNA from 1 species
AUAUAAAUCAGCUAAAUUUAAGCUUUUAGGCUCAUACCCUGAACAUAGAUUAAUAAUCUUUUAUAUA